AUGAAUGAAAUUCAUAUUGCCAUCGAUUAUGCAUAAGUGCACUACAUCACAUUAUUGUGUGUCUUCUAUCUUAACACUGCUUCACAUAUUUUUUCAAGUUGCAUAAACAACCUCAAUACAUCUUGUCAAAAUGUCUGACAUUUCUAAAUAUUUUAGAUACAUAAACAUGUGCUUAAAUUAAGUUCAACCAAAAUGGCACACUAGUAUCUUAUAAGGCAUAUGGCCCUCACAUUCUUCAAACAGAAAUAGAAUUAGUGUCCACACUUCUCACAUCUGACAAGACACAUUUUCUGAAUAUUCCUCAUAUGUAGUUAAAACUUCUGCAUUUAUCAUGAGGUACUAAAACAUAUUAAGCUUUAACAGAGUAUGUUUAACCUCAAUGGCAACAUUAUCUUCUAAGGCAAACGGGCAAUCAAAGUCAAUAAAGAUUGGAGCCAACACAUCUGCCAUGAGCAGGGUUUAAACCCACAAACUCAGUGUUGACUAUCUCACUUAAUUUGUGUUAUAUUAUAAUAUAUAUAUCACAAAUAUUUUUGAUGCAAUAGCAUUAAAACAAUAUGUUAUGUACAUCAAACUAAUAAAAACAAAAAAAAAU
rnacentral:lncRNA from 1 species